rnacentral:tRNA from 1 species
AGUUUUAUAUUCAUUAUUAAUGAUAUUAGAUUGCAAUUCUAAAGGAAUAACUAAGGUUAUUAAAGCUU